GUUGGUAAGGUAACGGCUUACCAAGGCGACGAUCAGUAGCCGGACUGAGAGGUUGAUCGGCCACAUUGGGACUGAGACACGGCCCAGACUCCUACGGGAGGCAGCAGUGGGGAAUAUUGCACAAUGGAGGAAACUCUGAUGCAGCGAUGCCGCGUGAGGGAAGAAGGUUUUAGGAUUGUAAACCUCUGUCUUCAGGGACGAAAAAAGACGGUACCUGAGGAGGAAGCUCCGGCUAACUACGUGCCAGCAGCCGCGGUAAUACGUAGGGAGCGAGCGUUGUCCGGAAUUACUGGGUGUAAAGGGAGCGUAGGCGGGAUCGCAAGUCAGAUGUGAAAACUAUGGGCUUAACCCAUAAACUGCAUUUGAAACUGUGGUUCUUGAGUGAAGUAGAGGUAAGCGGAAUUCCUAGUGUAGCGGUGAAAUGCGUAGAUAUUAGGAGGAACAUCAGUGGCGAAGGCGGCUUACUGGGCUUUAACUGACGCUGAGGCUCGAAAGCGUGGGGAGCAAACAGGAUUAGAUACCCUGGUAGUCCACGCCGUAAACGAUGAUUACUAGGUGUGGGGGGACUGACCCCUUCCGUGCCGCAGCAAACGCAAUAAGUAAUCCACCUGGGGAGUACGACCGCAAGGUUGAAACUCAAAGGAAUUGACGGGGGCCCGCACAAGCAGUGGAGUAUGUGGAUUAAUUCGAAGCAACGCGAAGAACCUUACCAGGUCUUGACAUCGUAUGCAUAGCUCAGAGAUGAGUGAAAUCUCUUCGGAGACAUAUAGACAGGUGGUGCAUGGUUGUCGUCAGCUCGUGUCGUGAGAUGUUGGGUUAAGUCCCGCAACGAGCGCAACCCUUACUGUUAGUUGCUACGCAAGAGCACUCUAGCAGGACUGCCGUUGACAAAACGGAGGAAGGUGGGGAUGACGUCAAAUCAUCAUGCCCCUUAUGACCUGGGCCUCACACGUACUACAAUGGCUGUCAACAGAGGGAUGCAAAGCCGCGAGGUGGAGCGAACCCCUAAAAGCAGUCUUAGUUCGGAUUGUAGGCUGCAACCCGCCUACAUGAAGUCGGAAUUGCUAGUAAUCGCAGAUCAGCAUGCUGCGGUGAAUACGUUCCCGGGCCUUGUACACACCGCCCGUCACGCCAUGGGAGUCGGUAACACCCGAAGCCUGUAGUCUAACCGCAAGGAGGACGCAGUCGAAGGUGGGAUUGAUGACUGGGGUGAAGUCGUAACAAGGUAGCCGUAUCGGAAGGUGCGGCUG
rnacentral:rRNA from 1 species